UGUUUUCUGGUAGCGCCGGAGAAAAAUUCGCAAUUAAACAUGUAAUCAUGCUACGUUAAGUUAUUUCCGCCUUGAACGCAACUUAAUUGCCCGCGAUAAUGGAUUCGACGAUCGUUGUUGCAAUCGUUCCAAGAAACAUCAUUCUGUUGCAAGAUUUUCGACGCGCGCCGACGCGAUUCAACCGGAAAACGACUUAUCGAUCGUUUUUCACUGUUUUUAUUUCGAAAUAUUCGAUUCAUCGUUGCGUGUUCCGCGCCCAACAUCUUUACGUUUGCAUAAGUUAUCGGCGAAACGAGACGGUGCAAAUAGAGAUUAACGGUCGCGAACAGAAGUCACGUGUGAGACUAGAAAAGCAGCAGUGUCGGCGUCGUUAGUAUUAGUUAUUAUCUGCCGACCUUCUUUCGCAGAGAACGCUGUCAUCCAACCACACUUCCGAUCCCACUAACUGCAAACUCAAAGAGCAUUUCGAUGAUUCUUCUUCAUUUUACCAAGCUGAUAUCUAUGCAGGAAAUACAUUCGAUGAGAAACGAGAACUCGUUUAAUUAAUUGCGGAUACAAAGUACAUUUUGAUGAUUCUUCGAUGAUUUGGCGAAACUACGAGGCAAUAAUAUUCGAACUGAGACAAGUGGAAAAAUAAUAGAUCGAAAUGUAUGUGUAUUUUAGUAUGUUAACUCUGUAACAUAAUACGAUACUCCAUGGCUAAAAUAAAGCCAGACAGACUAAUUAUCAUGGAUACUAAUUUAAUAACUGUACAAUAAUAGGUAGACUGUAAAUGUUUAUGGAAAACAUAAAGGUGCAAAACUGUACGCAACAUGCAAGGAUAUAGAAAAUAUGUAAAGUAAAAUAAGCUUAAAAUAAAGUGAAGUAUGUAAAAUAAACUUGUUACAAUGUGUGUAAUGUA